UACUUAAUAUCUUGCGUUUAUAUUUUGUGUUAUUGGUUUGCUUGGUAAAUUAUUAUUUUGUUUUUGUACUUUUAUUGAUUUAAUUUUUUUUGUUAUAGUUUAUUUGUACCGUAUGGGUUAGGAAAAUUGGUGUUUAAUGUUUUUGUAAGUUGGUUUAUUUUACCGUACCUUGUGUAUCAGGGUUUACUGAUUUUUAUUAUUUAUUUUUAUUUCCCGAUUUCAGGGGAGCUACAUAUUUAUUUCAGUUACUGUUUCAUUAGUAUUUGUAAUAUUUAUUUGGUGGUGAAAUGUUAUUCGUCUCUGGUGGUAUCUGGUUUCUUGAGAAAUGAAUUUAAUUUACACUUCUUGUUUAGUUAUCUUUUUUCUGUUGUUUGGUUUUACUUGCGGUGAAGGUUUAGAGGGAUAAGCUUCUAUUCUUGUUUAUAAUAUUUUUGUCAGUUUGUUUAGUGGGCUUUAUGAUGGCUACCUAUUUGAGUAUAUUAAAAUUCUUCUUUUUGUUAUUGGGAUUUUUGUUUUUAUUUAAUUAUUUUAUUGGGAUGAUUGAUUGAAUAUAAUAAUUAUUGUUAUUUUGGUUGAAUUAGUAUAUGAAAUUGUUUUGUUAUGGUUAAGUUUUUAGUUAAUUUUAUCAGAGGAACUAGGCAAAGGGUAUUAAAGUGCUCGCCUGUUUAACAAAAACAUCUCUUCUUGUUAAUUUUUUGAGGUAUGGCCUGCCCGCUGAUGUUUUUGAAGGGCCGCGGUAUUUUGACCGUGCAAAGGUAGCAUAAUCAUUAGUUCUUUAAUUGUGAACUUGUAUGAAUGGCUUGACGAGGUACUAUCUGUCUUUGUGUUAAGGUAUUAUUGAAUUUGGUGUUUGGGUAAAAAUACCUAAAUUGUAUUGUGGGACGAGAAGACCCUAUAGAGUUUUAUGCAUUUUUCUUUUUUGGUUUGAUAAUUUUAUUGAAUUUAAUUAUGUAUUUUGUUGGGGUGAUAGGAGGAUAAAGUAUAACUCCUCUUUUUUUCUGUUUCGUUUAUUUAUGUUUUUUUGAUCCUUUGUUAUUGAUUGUAAGAUUAAAUUACCUUAGGGAUAACAGCGUAAUCUUUUUUGAGAGUUCUUAUUGAUAGAAGGGUUUGCGACCUCGAUGUUGGAUUAAGAUGAAUUUUUGGUGUAGAGGCUUAAAUGAAAUUUUCGAUUAGGUCUGUUCGACCUUUAAAAUCUUACAUGAUCUGAGUUCAAACCGGCGUGAGCCAGGUUGGUUUCUAUCUAUAAUUUUCUUAUGUUUCUUAGUACGAGAGGACCAGAAAUUUGGAAUAAUUUUUUGUGUUUUGAGUUUCAAUAAUUUAUU
rnacentral:rRNA from 1 species